UCAGAGGUUUUCUUGGCUACUGAUUGCCUGCCAGGAAACGACCGGCCAGCUGAACCGUGUAUGCUAACCCUGCAUGUGUGCAAGUUAAUGUAGGGACAAGCUCUGCGUGGGGUCUUGCCGGAGGAUGACCCACCAAUCAGGAGCUAGACACUUUGUUGGCUCCUUCUAGCAUUGGUCUGCCUGGGUGGUCAGGGUAAUGUCCACACUUUAACCACCAACUACAUUCCUCCUCGUGAAGAGGAAGUCCGUCGGCAGUCCAGGGACCAGGUAUGCUUUACAGGCUUCUUGUUGGGAUUAGAUUGCGUGCAUUAUUCAGCCUGUAGCACGCGGCACAGACAUCAUUCUGCAGUCUCUCUCUGCUGAGAGAACAGCCUCUCGGAGCUAUGCUCUUUCCCAUCUUAAGGUAAUAUAAGGAGAAGAAAAUGGGUGUCCCAGAUAAACACACUACUAUGGAUGUGAAUGAAGACUGGCCAGCUGGACUACGUUUCCGAAAGAUACGCCAUCGAAGAAUGAGAAGAAGUCAAUCACCAUCCCGUGAGGUUUCUCCAGUACCAUCCUACUACUCUGAACCGAUUUCAGUCCGACAGCGCAAUGAUGUGACUCUCAGACUCCCCCCACUUCUCAGAUGGGCUCAUCAGGAGGAAGAGGAUGACUCUGAGGACACUCAGAGUCUAAAGAGCCUGCCCACUGUGAUGAGCACAUUAGCUUUUGACCCUAAGGUCAAAAGGUCACACCACCUCUCCAAGGAACAAGUCAUCUCUGGCCUCAACCUGCCUCCUCUGAUCACUUCCAAAUGUACUCUGGUGGUAAAAGGCACUGGAUGUUCCAAACCCCGGGGUUUCCUACCAGUGAUCAAAUCCAAAAGUCUGGACAGGCCUCCAUGCCGGGCUGGAUGCAGGCCAGAUAAACUAAAAGCAUCCGUAGGUCAAAGCUGCCAAAUGCUGCCCUCAACCAUAGCUGUCUCUGAGGAACCCCCUGGACCCCGCAUCACCUUCCACAGCCCAGUCGUAAAUGCUGAGUAUUCUGUCACUCCCGAUAUAACAAAAGAGACCUGGCAAACCUUCAGAACUCACCAAUCACGGAGACCUGUGAUGAAAAAAGCCCAAGUGACCAACAGACAAGGUUUUAAAUUCUUGUUGGAAGAGAGAUACUUUCCCUGUCCAAGAGAACCACACCUGCUGGAACCACUAUCUGGUUUUCAGGAGCACCUGCGACACCAGCUUGUUAACUCCCCCCUACCCCACCCAACACUACUGCCAGUCCAGCCCCAUCUCCUGAUUAACCAGAGAGACUACCCACACCAUGGUCUGCAUGGGUCUAGAAUGGAGCGCACUGUGGAGCUUUGCAACUCGCAAGAAAAGCGACUUCCCAGAAUUACCAUGACCUGCCCAACACCAUCUCCCAAACACCUGCAGCACCCAGGAAAGAGGCACGUGGCUUGAGUACUUAAAGGAAUUGUUUGGCCAAAAACUGCUUUUAUAUCAUUUUACAAACUCAAUAAUUUUUGUUUUGAUAGAUCCAAAAUAUCUAAGAUGAGUUCAGUGUGUUUAUGUAAAGUGUGCACUGGAACUACAAGUCUAAUGUAGCUAACAAGUACAUGAAACAUGGGACUAGUAUUGUGUCCCAUGAGUUUUGCCACCUCCUAUGGAAGCUAAAAUAUGCUCCACUGACCUGAGUGGUUUGCAUGUGAGGCCUACCGCAUUGAACAUGGAUGUGAUUUCUGCCGAGUCGCAUAGCGUUCCCAAGGACAAUUCAACUGCUGGACAUGAUCAUUACCACUCAUUGCACUGUCCACUGUGGGUGGUAAUUCAAGCUGAACUGCUUGAAUUUUUGCACCAGGUGUGGCAUAAAGUUAUUCAAAAGCAGUGUGUAAGACUGGUGGAGGAGAACAUGAUGUCAAGAUGCAUAAAAACUGUGACUGAAAACCAUAGAGUUAUUCCACCAAAUAUUGAUUUCUGAACUCUUAAAGCUUUAUGAAUAUGAACUUGUUUUUCUUUGCAUUAUUUGAGGUCUGAGAGCUCUGAAUUUUUUUUUUUUGUAAUUUAAGCCAUUUCUCAUUUUCUGCAAUCAAAUGCUCUAAAUGACACUAUUUUCAUUUGAAAUUUGGAAGAAAUGUUGUCAGUAGUUUCUAGAAUAAAACAACAAUGUUCAUUUUACACAAACAUAUACCUAUUAAUAGCAAAAUCUGAGAAAAUGAUUCAGAAACGCGUAUGUGCUUUGUGAUGUUGCAUGACCCAAAUGUAAUGUAGAGAGUUGGGGAGAAUUGGGUGAAUUUGAGUUUUUGCCAUAUCAUUCCUUUAAUUAUUUCACUGGUAGCUGCCUUCCAUCUGUCCAAUGUUCCAGAUAAGUUAAUCAGCGUCAGCUAUGGGAAGAGAACUGCUGUGUAUUGCCUGAACGCAGAACGCAGCGCGCGUUCGAUGACGUCACCAAACCCCGGCGUAUAAAUAGAGCCGCAGGAGCGGCAGUCGUAUUCAGCAGUUGUGACGUGAUGGAGCAAAUUAUUCUUCGCCGUACUUUAGCUAGCUAUUUUGAACGCGCUCGUCAGCAGUGUGGGCUGGAGCAGGAAGUUCGCAAAUGUAAGAUUAGCCCAUUUGUAGUAUUUGUAGACGGCUAUCCGACCCUGGUGGGGCCUAAAGAAAAGAUCCCAUCCCCGUGCCCAUUUGGUCUUCCCCCACUCAUGCCGCGCGCGCCACCAUCCCAGCCUCGCCCACGCCCACCGCAACGGCAACCACCGAUACACCCAAAGAUGUCGGGCCAAGUGUCUUCCAGAAAGGACUGCACAGCCUGCAGGGCGCGCUCGCCUACAUCUGUAUUACGGCCUGAGUGGCUGAAAACUCAGAGUCGCUUCCUCCCACUGACUAAACCUGGACCUGGUCAAGCAUUGCCAUCCAGACGCAGGACACCGCCGCCCAAAACACAGCUACCACCAAUACACCCAAAGAUGUCGGGCAAAGUGUCUACCAGGAAGGACUGCGGAGCUUGCAAGGAAUCCUCUGUGAAAGAGCUUUGGGGGCUGACAGAUGCCCCAACCUUCCCCCCAUUAGCAGAACCUGGACUCUGCCCAGCACCUCCCAAAUCAUGGCCACCAUCCAUGACUGGAACCAGGUACAGCAGAAGGACCAGCUUCGCCUGCAAAAAGACCAGGGCUGACUGACCACCAGAGCAUGUUUAAAGCAUGCUCCCUCGCUCAUUUGUGUUAUCCCGAACAGAAUAUUGUUGUGUCUGUGAGCUCCGUUCACUGAACGUGCUGAUGCUCCUGUGCAGUCACUGUGUGCUCCGUUCACUGAACGUGCUGAUGCUCCUGUGCAGUCUUUGUGUGCUCUAUUCACUGAGCAAAUUGUCAUUUUACUUUUUUUUCUUUUUUCAACUCUGAAUCUAAAAACAUGUAUUUAACCAAUAAAAUGUAUAUUGGUUAAUCUCAA